UGUGGUUGGAAGCUCCUCAUAAAGUGAACUGCUGCUUCAGAGUCUGCCUGAUUCCACUAAUUCUAGGGAUCCUCCCAUAGCAAGCACCCCAGCCUUCAUUGCUCUGGAGCCGGGGAAGGGGGAUAUGCUUCCUUCAUGCGUGGAUUCUGGAACCAGUGCCGUGCAGCAUGCCUCAGGAGAGGCACAACGUGUGCAGUGCUGGCCACAAAGAUGUUGCACGUGACUGGAAGUGAAACCAAAUGUGAAAGAUGAAGAGGAGUGUCGAAAAUCACAGAGUAUCUGCAACUCCAAUGCUACCAGCAGUCAGUAUAAACUGGAUGUGUCCUGGAGUUCUCUGCAAUUGGAAAGGAGAAGGGAAAACCAGCUGCAGCCUACAGACUGCUGCAGCAUUCCAGGCAGUCUGCCAGCAUGGCCUGGCUGGCUGUGAUCCAUGAGGUCAAAGGCAUUAAUCAAAGUCUGAGCAGUGGUUGUGUCCAAAAAAAGGUGGUUUCAUAUAGGAUGUUAGAGGCCAAAGAAAGUGACUUGUUUUGUCUUAAGGAAAAGUCCUGGUAGCAGAGCAGAAAUGAGCCACAAAUGAAGAUGGGGGAAUAAGGUUGCUAUAACCAGCUAGAAACAAGUGGUAGCUGUAAAACAGAUGACUGGUCAUCUGUCAGUCAGCUUUUGUUGACUGACAGAGCUUUAGCAAAAUUACUUAAUUCUUCUUGGUCUAUUGAAGAAGUAGAUGUCAUUGAGUUCAUAGCCUGCCAGAGGCAGUGGGCCCCAAAACUCAAGGGGACUUUACAGUCAGAAGCAGCAGCAUGUUAAAUACACCAGGGAAAUUAGGAUUGUGGCAGUGUCCAGACAUCCCAGAAGGAGAACAUGGUGUCUGAACCCCAAAGAAUAAGUAACAGAAUCAAUUGUGUACAAUAAUAUUGUACACCAAAAGUGUAUUGAGUAAGGUGUCCUAUUAAGGCUGGUGACAUGCUGGUCACGAAUAUCAUUGUCAUGUACAUGUAAGUUGGUAUGUAUAACAAAUUAGGUAUGUGUGCUGGAAAGAAGUUCUUAAAAUGAUUCAUGCACUGCCUCCAAAAUGCUAGUCUGCCCUAGACAAAGGAUUUACAUGUCUGAUGAGCUUGAUAACAGGUAGAGUAAGUUAAACAAAGCAAUCCAGCUAACAAGUGACAGAGGAAACAAUGUAAUAAGCACCCAGGGGAGAGAGGCUCUGCACCCUCAGGAAGUCUUCCUGACUCUUGAUAUAAAGAUAAUGGACUUGGUUUUUUUGCUCCCUCUUACCUUCUCCAUCCCUUCCGGGACAUAGGGAACAGCACCCUCUGAGCCUGUGAAUGGUGGAUCCUCUUGGUCUGAAGGGCAGGAGCUGCUGACAACUUGCUGUGGGUGAGAAACUGUUUUAGGCAAUGAUAUAGCCUUCUAGAAUCAAGUGUUUAUCCACUAGAAAGUGGCUUUUACUUUGUAACCGUUGUCUGUUUCUGCUACCACUGCUUAGUAUUUUAAAACUGUUCUUGGUUUAUAGUGAAACUAAGAAGAAGUGGGUUUUUAACAAUCUCAGUGCUAUUUAUUGAAGUAGAGAGGCGAGUCCUUAGCUUGCCUAACGGGCGAUUUUGUGUACACUGUCUCUUGAGAGGCAGCAAACUUAAUUUCUGAGCCUCUAGUGAGAGGGACUGGAUUCUAGAGACAUCUCUGCGGAACUUGAGAACUGGGGUCACUUACCUCCAAGCCAAGGUGAAGACUGGCAGAGUCUUAAAGUUCGUGAUGUGGACAGACUGAGGCAGUGAGUUGACAGUCUUAAUCUUCAGUAAAGCUCACUCUUGCUCAGGUGGGGAGGGGUCCCACAGUGGCUUAGGCUGCCCUGAGGAGAACAUCACAAUCUUUGAAGGAUUCCUGACAAAACAUGAAUUUUAGUGAGAACAUAAUGUUAACAUCAAAUCCUGCAG